AGCGAACGCUGGCGGCAGGCCUAACACAUGCAAGUCGAACGAACUCUUCGGAGUUAGUGGCGGACGGGUGAGUAACACGUGGGAACGUGCCUUUAGGUUCGGAAUAACUCAGGGAAACUUGUGCUAAUACCGAAUGUGCCCUUCGGGGGAAAGAUUUAUCGCCUUUAGAGCGGCCCGCGUCUGAUUAGCUAGUUGGUGAGGUAAAGGCUCACCAAGGCGACGAUCAGAAGCUGGUCUGAGAGGAUGAUCAGCCACAUUGGGACUGAGACACGGCCCAAACUCCUACGGGAGGCAGCAGUGGGGAAUCUUGCGCAAUGGGCGAAAGCCUGACGCAGCCAUGCCGCGUGAAUGAUGAAGGUCUUAGGAUUGUAAAAUUCUUUCACCGGGGACGAUAAUGACGGUACCCGGAGAAGAAGCCCCGGCUAACUUCGUG
rnacentral:rRNA from 1 species